AGAGUUUGAUCCUGGCUCAGAAUCAACGCUGGCGGCGUGCCUAACACAUGCAAGUCGAGCGAGAAAAGGGGGGCAACUCCCUGAGUAAAGCGGCGCACGGGUGAGUAACGCGUGGGAACCUACCCUUUUGUGGGGGAUAACCGAGGGAAACUUCGGCUAAUACCGCAUACGCCGGGUAACCGGGAAAGAUUUAUCGCAGAAGGAUGGGCCCGCGUCGGAUUAGCUAGUUGGUGGGGUAACGGCCUACCAAGGCUAUGAUCCGUAGCUGGUCUGAGAGGAUGAUCAGCCACACUGGGACUGAGACACGGCCCAGACUCCUACGGGAGGCAGCAGUAGGGAAUAUUGGACAAUGGGCGAAAGCCUGAUCCAGCAAUGCCGCGUGAGUGAGGAAGGCCUUAGGGUUGUAAAGCUCUUUCGGCGGGGACGAUGAUGACGGUACCCGCAGAAGAAGCCCCGGCUAACUUCGUGCCAGCAGCCGCGGUAAUACGAAGGGGGCGAGCGUUGUUCGGAAUUACUGGGCGUAAAGGGCGCGUAGGCGGCUAUCUUUGUCAGGUGUGAAAGCCCUGGGCUCAACCUAGGAAUUGCACUUGGGACGGGGUAGCUUGAGUUCGGGAGAGGAGAGUGGAAUUCCCAGUGUAGAGGUGAAAUUCGUAGAUAUUGGGAAGAACACCGGUGGCGAAGGCGGCUCUCUGGACCGAUACUGACGCUGAGGCGCGAAAGCGUGGGGAGCAAACAGGAUUAGAUACCCUAGUAGUCC
rnacentral:rRNA from 1 species